UUCCCGGCCAAAAUUCGAUCGAUCCGGCCACUGAUUGGGCUGGGUCUUGUGUCAAACAAUAUCUACACCUCGAGAGCUUUCCAUAGACACCAAGAACACCAAAAUUUAUCGAGCGGUUUAUUCAAUUUUUGUCCGGGAAGUUUUAGCCCAUUUUAAUUUUUGGGCUAGAUUUCUCGCAAACCGUGAACCCCAAAAGAAAACCGAGAGUACUAGAGCGCUCCACUCGUCGAGAGCUUCGCGACAAUAUAAAUUUCAAAAUUUUCUGACACCGUUUUUCGGUGGGUCCCACGAAAAUUCGUAGUAUUUUUCCUAGCAUUAAAUGAGCUUAAAAAAUUUCGUAAAAAUUAUAUACUAACCCUCGUAUUGUGGGCUUCGUGUAGGUACCUUCAAUUCACAAAAAUUUGAUGGUUGCCUGAGUCUGUGAAUUUCGAGCCAAACAGGCAGGCUACCGAAAAAGUAUCGGAAUUGGAUCAAGAUUUUGGCUACCCCACCGUUGUCAGAUGUCCUGAGUGCGUUCCCGAGAUCAGAAUCGGCAUAGGUGAGCCGGGACAACCUUCCUCCUCCGCCCAGCUGCCACAGUGACUUCGGUUGAGUCUGUGAGCUGGGCUAGCCUUCCUCCUCCGCCCAACCACCGCAGUGACUUGUGAAGUACUGUAUUUGAGACACAGCUGGAGAGCCCAGCAGACCUACGACCGGGUGAGACAUCAGAUCUGCACAGGAGUCCAGAGUCAUCUACACUGUAUUGCAUACAUGGUAGGACUUAGGAUAUCUUGUAUUUUAUACUUCUGUUAUAUUUUGAAAUUCGGCCCUGUUUUUUUUGUAAUAUUAUAAAAGCUCUAAAGUUUGUAAUAUUUUGUACAUAUUAAAUAACAUGGAGAUUUUUUGGAUA